GUACGGCUUUAAAGUCUAAACUCUAAACUCAAGAUACUAUUCAUUAUUAAACUAUUUUCUUCAUCAAAGGCUUGAAUUGAAUCCACUACUUGCUCUUCUCAGAACCCAAAAUCUCACUCUCUCUUUUGCUUCCAUCAUCUUCAUUCUUCACCCCUCAGAUUCAUGUUUCUUUCUCUGUCAGAGAGCUUCAGCAAUAAGAAAAAGAAAAUGAUGGGAUUUUCCAAGUUGGGGUUUGAAAUUAAGUUGUGAAAGUUGAGAAAGAGUAGGUUAGGAUGGUUUUUGUUUGAGGUGAAAAAGAGAGGAAUUUGAAGCUUUUGGAAGCUUGGUUUUGUGUGAGUGUUUGUUUGAAGUGAAAAAGGGUCUGCAAUGGAAGAAGGGUUAGCUCAAAACUCAGUUCCACCUUCAGGUCCCAUUGAUAAGUCAAGGAUUCUGGAUGUGAAACCGAUGCGUAGUUUGAUACCGGUGUUCCCAAUGUCACCUCAAGCUCCAGCCUCUGGGCAGUACCCUUCUGGGUUUUCACCAUUUUUCCCAUUUGGUGGACCUCAGCAAGGAUCUUCAGGGGCCCCAAGGGGUGGUGCGAUACCGGCUCCGAUACGGGCUUAUAGGAGCCCUGCUGGGGCAGGAGACGGUGGCACGUCGAUGGAUGGGUCUAGUGGGAGGAAGAAUGCAGCUUCUCGAAGUGCUAGAUCAGCUGCAAAGAGGAAUAAGAAAGCUGUAGGAGUACCUGUUGAUGCAAGUGGUUUGGUUGGUAUAAGCCCGGCUCAAAGGGAAGACGGAAGCCAGGAAGUUGUUCAUCUUAUAAUGACAACAUUCGAUGCUAUUCGGAGAAGGAUCUGCCAACUUGAUGAUGCCAAGGAAUUGAGCAGCGGGUCGAUCAAGCGGUCGGAUCUUAAAGCUUGCAAUACUUUGAUGAGCAAAGGGAUUCGAACAAACUUGAGGAAGAGAGUGGGAGCAGUUCCUGGGGUUGAGAUAGGGGAUAUCUUCUAUUUCCGAAUGGAGUUAUGUAUUGUUGGUCUGCAUGCUCCCUCCAUGGGUGGAAUUGACUCUUUGCAUGUGAAGGGUGAGUUCGAGGAGGAAAUUAUCGCUAUAAGCAUUGUUUCAUCAGGAGAAUAUGAUGAUGAAGCUGAGGAUAAUGAUGUUAUAAUUUAUACUGGUCAGGGUGGCAACUUCAACAAGAAAGAUAAGCAUGUGACAGAUCAAAAGCUUGAAAGGGGUAAUCUUGCUUUGGAUAGAAGUUCGCGACAACGCAACGAGGUAAGAGUCAUUCGGGGCAUAAGAGAUGGCGCCAAUCCAAAUUCAAAGAUCUAUGUCUAUGAUGGUCUGUAUAAAAUCCAAGAUUCUUGGGUGGACAGGGCAAAAAGUGGCGGUGGUGUGUUCAAGUAUAAGUUGGUAAGAGUUCCGGGGCAGCCGAGUGCGUUUGCUGUUUGGAAAUCAGUUCAGAAAUUCAAGUCUGGAUUCCCUUCGAGGACUGGGCUUAUUAUUGGAGACCUCUCCUCAGGAGCCGAGAGUAUUCCGGUAUCACUUGUCAAUGAUGUUGAUAAUGUGAAGGCGCCUGCAUAUUUCACUUACUUCCAUUCCCUCAGGCAUCCGAAAUCCUUCAGUUUGAUGCAGCCUUCACAUGGCUGCAGCUGUGGUAAAUCAUGUGUCCCUGGUGAUUUGAACUGCUCUUGCAUUAGGAGAAACGACGGAGAUUUUCCCUACACCGGUGGCAGCAUUUUGGUGAGUCGAAGGCCGCUGAUUCAUGAAUGUGGUCCCACAUGCCAGUGUUUCCCUAACUGCAAAAAUCGAGCCUCCCAGACCGGUCUGAAGCACCACAUGGAAGUGUUCAAAACAAAGGAUAGAGGAUGGGGUCUUAGAUCACUGGAUCCUAUUCGUGCCGGUUCUUUCAUUUGCGAGUAUGCAGGAGAAGUUAUUGAUCAAGCAAGGUUGAAUCAGCUCGCGAAGGAAGGAGAUGCUAAUGAAUAUGUUUUCGACACAACUCGAAUUUAUGAGGAAUUCAAGUGGAACUAUGAACCUAGAUUACUCGAAGAAGUGAGCACAAAUGACUCUACAGAGGACUACACUAUGCCGUAUCCUCUUAUUAUUAGUGCCAAGAAUGUUGGGAAUGUAGCUAGAUUCAUGAACCAUAGUUGCUCCCCCAAUGUUUUCUGGCAACCUAUCUUAUAUGAAGAAAACAAUCAAUCAUUCCUACAUGUGGCGUUUUUCGCAAUCAGUCACAUUCCCCCGAUGAACGAGUUAACCUAUGACUAUGGUAUUGCUAGUUCUGGGCAUGCUGGUGGUAGCAGAGAUUCCAAAGGGAAAAAGAGAUGCUUAUGUGGAUCGUCAAAAUGCCGCGGUUCCUUUGGUUGAUAUUUUGUUGCAGACGCUUUCCGACUGGCACGAUAAUGAGUUGUGCCGGAAUCCUUGGGGAUGGAAAUCCGUGUCGAGGCAUGAUUGAUUGUGUGAUGAGGUCCGGUAGAGCGGGACACAGGCCAUCGAAGUUGAGAUUGCCGGAUUAUGGGAUUCGGUUUGGGUAGGGCCGAGUAGGCUGGCCGGUCAAAACUUGUGAUUGAGUUUUUCUCAUUUCUUUAUCUGAAAUUCGGUUUUGGAUUGUGGAGAUGGAUGAUGGCACUCUUAGGUCAAAAGCCAAAUCCCAGUUAAGAAGUUCCAAGCUUUUUGGAUUCAUGCUUCCAAAUAUCAUUUUCAAUAGUUAAUUGUGUUUAGUGGGUAUUAAUAAAUUGUGUAUGUCUCUUUCUCUC